rnacentral:misc_RNA from 1 species
AACUUUCAGCAACGGAUCUCUUGGCUCUCGCAUCGAUGAAGAACGCAGCGAAAUGCGAUAAGUAAUGUGAAUUGCAGAAAUCCGUGAAUCAUUGAAUCUUUGAACGCAACUUGCACUCAUCUACAAAUGAGUAUGCCUGUUUGAGUACCUAUAACACCCUCCAACCGGCUUGGUUGAAAUCUGGGCGAUUCAGCGCCAGCCGCGCUGAUUGCCUCAAAGUCAUACCUGGCCUGCUGCGCCCAAGGCUACCGAAGUCAAAGUGACUGAAGGGUUCGCCCACGUCCUUUGUCUUGUGUGCUAGCUUGCAGCGGGCAAAGUUGCCAUUGAGUGGGCACGAGAGAGAAGCGGGCGGAUACGCGCCUGCACUCUCUCUGUACUUCAGGUCUCAAAUCAGGUAGGAAGACCCGCUGAACUUAAGCAUAUCAAUAAGCGGAGGCU